rnacentral:rRNA from 1 species
GCGCAAGGAGAAUGCCUUGGCACUGGGAGCCGAUGAAAGACGUGGUAAGCUGCGAUAAGCCUUGGGGAGGAGCAAACAUCCUUUGAUCCAGGGAUUUCUGAAUGAGGAAACUCAGCGGAGUUCAUGCUCCGUUAUCAUGCACUGAAUCCAUAGGUGCAUGAGGGGAACCGCCUGAACUGAAACAUCUAAGUAGGGCGAGGAAGAGACAUCAACCGAGAUUCCGUUAGUAGUGGCGAGCGAACGCGG